rnacentral:lncRNA from 1 species
AAUAUUCAAGUUUUCAGUGUUCCAGAAGGUGAAGAGAGGACCAAAGGAAUAGAAAACCUAUUUAAUGAAAUAAUAGCUGAAAACUUCCCAAGUCUAGCAACAGAUUUAGAUAUCCAGAUACAAAAAGUUCAGAAAUCCCCAAAUAGAUACAAUUCAAGAGAAUCUUCUUCAUGACAUGUUAUAGUCAAACUUUCAGCAAAGGAAACAAUCAACAGAGUAAUGAGACAACUUGUUGAAUGGGAGAAAAUAUUUACAAAAAUUAUUCAUCCAACAUGGGACUAAUAUCCAGAAUAUACAAGGAACUCAAACUAUUCAACAAGAAAAAAACAAAUAAUCUCAUUAAAAAGUAGGCAAAAGACAUGAAUAGACACUUCUCGAAAGAAGACAUACAAAUGGCCAAAUGGGUAUAGUUUAAAAUGCUCAACAUCACUAAUCAUCAGGGAAAUGUAAAUUAGUGGAGUUCUCACGAAUGGACUAGUGCCCCAGAGAGCAGCCUUGUCCUUUCAUCAUAUGAGGACACAGCUAGAAGAUGCCAUCUAUGAACCAGAAAGCGGGUCUUCACCAGACACUGAAUCUGCCUUGAUCUUGGAUUCUGCAGCUUUCAGACUUUGAGAAAUAAAUUUCUGUUGUGUAUAAGCCACCUGGUUUAUGACAUUUUAUUAUAGCAGCCUGAACUAAGACAACACCCUUUAUGUCAGUUAAAUUUACAAUUACCUUACGUACAUAUAUACGUACAUAUAAGGUCCCACCCUGCCCCAUCUUGGAAAGCUACUUGUUAAACAUUUACCAGCACACCACUAAAGGGCAAGAAAGUGUCAUUUGAACUCAGUGACUUAGGGAAAUAUAUCUUGGCUUCAGGCUGUGGAUAGAGAUUUUCAAGCACAUCUAGGAAGUAUUUCAAAAGGUAAUUUAGGAAAAAUUUCAAAAGAUAAUCUUUAGGCCCUUCACAUGCUCCUAUCUUCCAGGUUCUGGAAGCAGCUAUCGCAAGUGCUUAAAUGUUCCUCCUGUGACUCUGUGACUGUCCAAAGUCCCUGUUUCCAGUUCAGCUUUCUUUGAAAAGCCCUUGAGCUUUAAUAUCACCAUCAUGCCUCAUUAAAACUCCUAUUCACUGGGUGCAGAAGACUGCUUAUUACUGAAAGUAAUUUGACUAAAACAUAAAUACUGCAAAAUCUGUCUACAUACGUCUCUUUGAAACAACCUGAACUCUUCUCUCAAUAUAAAAUUGAGGUGAAAUACCAAAUUAAGGCACAUGGGUCCGUUAUUGCCAAAGUGAUGGAUUUCCUGACAACCAUUCCACCCAGAAGAUUUUUUUUCCCAGAACUAAUAAUCCCAUCCCCGUUGCUGGUGAUUAACUUAAUAACGAGCAUGACAAUCAACAAACAGAUUGAAAAGGCAACCUACUCAGAAUGGGAGAAAAUAUGAAACCAUAUACCAGAGAUGAAAGUAAUAUCCAGAAUAUAUAAAGAAUUCCUACAACUUGAUAACAAAAACACCCCAAUCUAAAAAUGGACACAGAAUUUAAAUAGACAUUUCUCCAAUGAAGAUGGCCACCACACAUGUGAAAAGAUGCUCAACAUCACUAAUCAUCAAGGGAAAUGCAAAUCAAAACCACAAUAGCACAAUGAGAUAUCAUUUCAGACCCCGUAUGAUGUUAGGAUGGCUACUUUCAAAAAAACAGAAAAUAAGUGUUGGUAAGGAAACACCUGCACACUGUUGAUGGGAUUAUAAAAUGGGCAGCCACUAUGGAAAAUAGUAUGGAGGUUCCUAAAAAAACUGCAAUUAGAAUUCCCAUAUGAUCCAGUCAUCUCCUACUGCAUAUAUAUCCAAAAGAAUUGAAAGCAGGAUCUUGAAAAGAUAUCUGCUCUCCUAUGUUCAUGCAGCAUUAUUCACAACAGCCAAGAUGUAGAGGUGAUUCAAAUGUCCAUCAGUGAAUGAAUAGAUAAAGAAAUGUGGUAUAUACAUACAAUGGAAUCUUAGCCUAAAAAAGAAAGAAUUCCUGUCAUAUGCUACAGCAUGGAUGAACCUUGAGGACCUUAUGGUAAGUGAAAUGAGCCAAUCAGAAAAAGAUGGGUGCUAGAUGAUCCUACUUAUGUGAGGUAUCUGAAGUAAUAAAACUCAUGGAAAUGAAAGUAGAAUAAUGGUUACCAGGGGCUGGGGGAGGGGAAAACACCAUGUUGUUCAAUGGGUAUAGAGUUUCAGUCAUGCGUGCGGAAAACGUUCUAGAGAUCCGUUGUACAACAAUGUGCAUAUCACAACAUUACUGAACUGUACACUAAAAAAUGUUAAGAGGGCCAGGCACAGUGGCUCACCCCUGUAAUCCAGCACUUUGGGGGGCCAAGGUGGGAGGAUCGCUUGAGCCCAGGAGUUGGAGACCAACCUGGGCAACACAGCAAGACUUCAUUUUUACUAAAAAUAAAUAAAUAUAUAAAUAAAAAAUAGCCAGGCAUGGUGGCAAACGCCUGUAGUCCCAGCUACUUGAGAGGCUGAGUUGGGAGGAUCCCUUGAGCCCAGUAGUUCCAGGUUACUGUAAGCUAUGAUCUCGCCACUGCGCUUCAGCCUGGGCAGCAGAGCAAGACUGUCUCAGAAAAAAAAAUUGUUAAGAAGAUAAAGUUAUGUUAUGUGUUUUUACCACAUUAAAUAACAAUAACAAAAAAGAAUGAGCAUCUGGCCUAAUUCUGACGAGUAAAAUUGGAAGGGAAGUCAGUUGGGGGCUAGGAAAUCUUUGCUUGCUCAUAAGAAAGUGAUUUUAGAAAUGAUUGCCUGGAACCGUUACAUGUAUUUUCUUACCAGUCCGAGGAUGAACACACAAGAGAUUCACAGGAACAAACCAGACCACUGACUUGCUGCACUGAAGUUGCAAUACUUCUGAGACGUAGAUCUCCUUAUUAAUCUAGCUCAGUGUUUUGUUACCUGCAGCACAGAAACACUUUCCCUGAAAAACAGAUACAACUUUUAAAGCAUAAUUUUUAUUCUUUAGGUAUUCU